rnacentral:tRNA from 7 species
GGCGGCAUAGCUCAGUUGGCCAGAGCAUUCGGUUCAUACCCGAAGUGUCCCCGGUUCGAAUCCAGGUGCCGCUACCA